rfam:Rattus norvegicus chromosome 2, whole genome shotgun sequence.
GGGGAUUUAGCUCAGUGGUAGAGCGCUUGCCUAGGAAGCUCAAGGCCCUGGGUUCAGUCCCCAGCUCCG